UGGUUCUGGCAUCGAUGAAGAACGCAGCGAAAUGCGAUAAGUAAUGUGAAUUGCAGAAUUCAGCGAAUCAUCGAAUCUUUGAACGCACAUUGCGCCCGCUAGUAUUCUGGCGGGCAUGCCUGUUCGAGCGUCGUUUCAACCCUCAGGCCCAGCCUGGUGUUGGGGCCACCGGAUCUGUUUCCGGUGCCCUGAAAUACAGUGGCGGGCCCAGUCGUAACCCGAGCGCAGUAAUUUCUCUCGCUUAGGGGCACGGCCGGCGCCUUGCCUUGCAAAGAAUUUAUUCUUGGUUGACCUCGGAUCAGGUAGGAAUACCCGCUGA
rnacentral:misc_RNA from 1 species